GCCGUAUACCUAUACCUAUACCUACCUAUCUACCUACCUACCUACCUACCAACCUAUAAACGAAAUAAUAUACGGCUCUCGUAAUUGGUUCGGUUUAACGUGUACGCGCGUAUAUAAACUAAUAUUAUGCCGUGCGUACGGGUAUUAUGUACCAACUAUAGUUUGUGCGACUAUAGACGGCGUUUUAGAUUUUUUUUUUUUAAUAAAUUCCAAUAAACUUAACGGACGCGUCCGUACCUUUACUACCUGUACAACACGGCGUAGAAAGGGAAACGGCCAUCACGAUGUUCGAUUCGAAAGUAUAAAUCCUACAUUUUUAUGUAUUAUACCUAUAAUAAAACAAGUAUACAUUUAUAUAUAUAUAUAACUAGUGUAUCGGUAUAAUGUGGUGUACGACAUUACGGUGCGGCUGCCACCGUCGGCCGAGCUCCGUCAACAACAACAAACGCGGAGAGGACGAAAACAGAAUAGUAAAAAACCCAGCGGUAGUGGAACGACGACAACGGUGCGUAUUUUUCCCGGUUUUUAGACUCGAACGGCGGAUAAAACUGUGUACAGGAUAUACACAGCAUGCGACGGAUCGCAAUAUUUUUGAAACGAUACAUCUAUUCG